GUCUACAGCCAUGCCAUCCUGAAUAAGCCUGAUUCCGUCUGAUCUCAGAAACUAAGCAGGGUCGGGCCCGGUUAGUACUUGGAUGGGAGAUCAUCCACCUAGGAAGACCAGGUGCUGUAGGUG
rnacentral:rRNA from 1 species